CACAGGUAGUCAAGAUGAGAAUUCUAAGGUGAGCGAGCGAACUCUCGUUAAGGAACUCGGCAAAAUGACCCCGUAACUUCGGGAGAAGGGGUGCUCUUUGAGGUUCACGCUUCGAAGAGCCGCAGUGAAUAGGCCCAAGCGACUGUUUAUCAAAAACACAGGUCUCUGCUAAACCGUAAGGUGACGUAUAGGGGCUGACGCCUGCCCGGUGCUGGAAGGUUAAGAGGAGUGGUUAGCGCAAGCGAAGCUACGAAUCGAAGCCCCAGUAAACGGCGGCCGUAACUAUAACGGUCCUAAGGUAGCGAAAUUCCUUGUCGGGUAAGUUCCGACCCGCACGAAAGGCGUAACGAUUUGGGCACUGUCUCAACGAGAGACUCGGUGAAAUCAUAGUACCGGUGAAGAUGCCGGUUACCCGCGACAGGACGGAAAGACCCCGUGGAGCUUUACUGUAGCCUGAUAUUGAAAUUCGGUACAGUUUGUACAGGAUAGGUAGGAGCCUUAGAAGCGUGAGCGCUAGCUUACGUGGAGGCAUUGGUGGGAUACUACCCUAAUUGUAUUGGAUUUCUAACCCGCAGCACUUAUCGUGCUGGGAGACAGUGUCAGGCGGGCAGUUUGACUGGGGCGGUCGCCUCCUAAAGAGUAACGGAGGCGCUCAAAGGUUCCCUCAGAAUGGUUGGAAAUCAUUCAUAGAGUGUAAAGGCAUAAGGGAGCUUGACUGCGAGACCUACAAGUCGAGCAGGGUCGAAAGACGGACUUAGUGAUCCGGUGGUUCCGCAUGGAAGGGCCAUCGCUCAACGGAUAAAAGCUACCCCGGGGAUAACAGGCUUAUCUCCCCCAAGAGUUCACAUCGACGGGGAGGUUUGGCACCUCGAUGUCGGCUCAUCGCAUCCUGGGGCUGUAGUCGGUCCCAAGGGUUGGGCUGUUCGCCCAUUAAAGCGGUACGCGAGCUGGGUUCAGAACGUCGUGAGACAGUUCGGUCCCUAUCCGUCGUGGGCGUAGGAAAUUUGAGAGGAGCUGUCCUUAGUACGAGAGGACCGGGAUGGACAUACCUCUGGUGUACCAGUUGUCGUGCCAACGGCAUAGCUGGGUAGCUAUGUAUGGACGGGAUAAGUGCUGAAAGCAUCUAAGCAUGAAGCCCCCCUCGAGAUGAGAUUUCCCAACUUCGGUUAUAAGAUCCCUCAAAGAUGAUGAGGUGAAUAGGUUCGAGGUGGAAGCGUAGCGAUACGUGGAGCUGACGAAUACUAAU
rnacentral:rRNA from 1 species